rnacentral:rRNA from 1 species
GGAGGGUGCGAGCGUUGUUCGGAAUUACUGGGCGUAAAGCGCGUGUAGGCGGCCUUGCAAGUCAGGCGUGAAAGCCCUCGGCUUAACCGGGGAAGUGCGUCUGAAACUGCUUGGCUUGAGUACGGGAGAGGGAGGCGGAAUUCCCAGUGUAGAGGUGAAAUUCGUAGAUAUUGGGAGGAACACCGGUGGCGGAAGCGGCCUCCUGGACCGAUACUGACGCUGAGACGCGAAAGCGUGGGGAGCAAACAGGAUUAGAUACCCUGGUAGUCCACGCGGUAAACGAUGGGCACUAGGUGUGGGGGGUAUCCACUCCUCCCGUGCCGAAGCUAACGCAUUAAGUGCCCCGCCUGGGGAGUACGGCCGCAAGGUUA